CACGUAGGCGGCCCGGUCAGUCUGAUGUGAAAGCCCUGGGCUCAACCUGGGAACUGCAUUGGAUACUGCCGAGCUGGAGUCCGAGAGAGGGGGGUGGAAUUCCAGGUGUAGCGGUGAAAUGCGUAGAGAUCUGGAGGAACACCGGUGGCGAAGGCGGCCCCCUGGUUCGAGACUGACGCUGAGGUGCGGAAGCGUGGGGAGCAAACA
rnacentral:rRNA from 1 species